AAAUUGAAGAGUUUGAUCAUGGCUCAGAUUGAACGCUGGCGGCAGGCCUAACACAUGCAAGUCGAACGGUAACAGGAAGCAGCUUGCUGCUUUGCUGACGAGUGGCGGACGGGUGAGUAAUGUCUGGGAAACUGCCUGAUGGAGGGGGAUAACUACUGGAAACGGUGGCUAAUACCGCAUAACGUCGCAAGACCAAAGAGGGGGACCUUCGGGCCUCUUGCCAUCAGAUGUGCCCAGAUGGGAUUAGCUUGUUGGUGAGGUAACGGCUCACCAAGGCGACGAUCCCUAGCUGGUCUGAGAGGAUGACCAGCCACACUGGAACUGAGACACGGUCCAGACUCCUACGGGAGGCAGCAGUGGGGAAUAUUGCACAAUGGGCGCAAGCCUGAUGCAGCCAUGCCGCGUGUAUGAAGAAGGCCUUCGGGUUGUAAAGUACUUUCAGCGGGGAGGAAGGUGUUGUGGUUAAUAACCGCAGCAAUUGACGUUACCCGCAGAAGAAGCA
rnacentral:rRNA from 2 species